UAAUCGGAAAUUUAAAUUUAUAUUUCAACUACUAUCGUUCAGUUUUCUUUUCGUUCAAAUUAACAAAAAACCAAACAAGUAAAUACGUAACAAUAUAUAAAUGAAAACGUCAUAUUUUGUAAGUAUUCGCAUAGUAAAAUAUUCUGUCCUUUUCUUAUUUGCUAAAACCACUUCGUUAACAUCGAGUUAUUUUAUUAUAAUGUCACUAAUUUUUCUUGGUUUUUCAGUUUCCUGUCGGUCAUUGAUAAUAUCUGCUUCAGCACUCCAUUAGUAUUUACUUAAAUUUGGUAGUAAGUUCCUUAUAACUGUGUUGGCUUCUGCGUAUACCCUUUGAUGUUUUGAUGGUUUACCCCAGUAGUUAUUGCCUUCGGUAUUCUUGUACCUGUGAGUAGAGUGGUCUCAAAAUUUUCCACCGGGCAACCGUAAGUCUUGUUAAUUUGAAAUUGUAAUUGUAGGGCAUCCAUUAUUAACCAGUAUUUUGCUUCUUUUAGUUUAAUUGUAAUAUUAUCGUAGAUUUUUAAUAGUAUUAUUUUCUUUUAUGUACAUAUAUCUCAAGGCAAAUGAAGUUAGUUUAUCUAUCCAUUCCAGCUGACAGUUAUGUUCUACGGAAUGGGUCCAUAACCUGUCUUUGUACGUACACUUCCUUCUAUGAUGAUUAAUUCUUCACAAGGUAACUUUCACUUUCACUGCUUUAAUUAUUUUAUUAGAUCAACACCUUUUAUGUUUAAAUAGUGGUUAGGAUGUGCACAAUAAUUUUUCUUUUUCUUUUUAGGUUUCCCACUAUCUGCGUUAUUCGACAAGCAAUGCUACUACUGCACUGUGUUACCUUGAAAUUGUUUAGUUUAUUGUUAUUUCAAUUAUGCGCUAGUUUUACUUGUCCAAGUGCACUGUUCGCAGAAUCUCGUUCACUUUGAUCUUGACGUUUUGAUUUUGCAAAAUUUCUGACACUUAUUGCAGUCCUGUAUAUUGAUUAGGAAAUUUUCCUUUACUAGGUUCCCUUAUUGGAUAUAUUAGAUCUCCUACUUUGGAAUUUUGCGAGUCGAUUCGUCUGUAGUAGUACUCUUCUGGCUUUAAAUUGGACGUUAUCGAGUUUUCUCUUGCUGUUUGCUGCACAGUGUUGAUUUUGUCAAACAUAUCUCCGAGAUAUUCUGCAUAUGUUGAUUCCAUUUUCUCUUCGAUUAUUACUUCACCAGUGGGGUCUCUGGUCAAGUGCCCAAGGUUUAAUUCGUGCGGGGAGAAUUGCGUUCCUUCGUGUAAAUCUUGAAUCGUUGGUACUGUUACGUAUUUGUAUUUAUUAUAUAUAUUUUUUUUUUUUUAAAUUUGAUUGUCGUUAAUUUGAACGAAAAGAAAAUAAUGAAUGAACGAUAGUAAUCGAAAUAUAAAUUUAAACUUCCGAUUAAUACGGUAGUUGCUGCCACCAGAAAUAGUCUAAGGACUAUUUCGAAAAAUUUUUUUUUAUUUAUUUUUAUUUAGUUUAUUUAUUUCUCUCUUUUUUUUUACUUGGUGUUAAAAGAAUUGCUGUGCUACGGGUACAGUUGCGUCUGUCACGUUUAACAACGUCAAUGAAAUUCCAGAUCUAUGUCGCACAUUCGGUGCGAACUCAAACCUGAAGAACUUCGGAACGUUGUACCUUAACUCGGGGAUCGUCUAGUAAUAUCGUCAAUAGAAUUCCAGGCCUAUGUCGCUUAUUCGUGCGCACUCAAACCUGAAGAAUUCCGAAUUGUUAGCAACGUCAA